rnacentral:rRNA from 1 species
CGCUAGUAAUCGCGAAUCAGAAUGUCGCGGUGAAUACGUUCCCGGGUCUUGUACACACCGCCCGUCACACCAUGGGAGUUGGUAACGCCCGAAGUCAGUGACCCAACCGAAAGGAGGGAGCUGCCGAAGGCGGGACUGAUAACUGGGGUGAAGUCGUAACAAGGUAGCCGUAUCGGAAGGUGCGGCUGGAUCACCUCCUUUCUAAGGAA